rnacentral:lncRNA from 1 species
GUGUCUUUUAGGGAUGAUGAAAGUAUUCUAAAAUUAGAUUCUGGUAAUGAUUGUAUAACUUUGCAAAUAAUACUAAAAACCAUUGAAUUAGAUACUUUAUGCAGGUGAACUUUUUGGUAUGUAAAUUACCAAAAAAUAAGAGAGCAGGCUGGGGAUAUAGCCUCAGUUGGUAGAGUUGCCUCACAUGUUCAAGACCUUGGGUUCAAUCCCUGCAAUCACACACACACACAAAAUAAAGAGUAGGAGUGAAAAUAGGCAAGAGUGAGAAAGAAAAGCAUAAAAACAGUAAGAAAAAUAAGUAGAAAGUGGAAGACUUGGGCUGUAACCAAAUUUUAAGAGGUGUGG